UGGGGAAUAUUGGGCAAUGGGCGCAAGCCUGACCCAGCAACGCCGCGUGAAGGAAGAAGGCUUUCGGGUUGUAAACUUCUUUUAAGAGGGAAGAGCAGAAGACGGUACCUCUAGAAUAAGCCACGGCUAACUACGUGCCAGCAGCCGCGGUAAUACGUAGGUGGCAAGCGUUGUCCGGAUUUACUGGGUGUAAAGGGCGUGCAGCCGGGUCUGCAAGUCAGAUGUGAAAUCCAUGGGCUCAACCCAUGAACUGCAUUUGAAACUGUAGAUCUUGAGUGUCGGAGGGGCAAUCGGAAUUCCUAGUGUAGCGGUGAAAUGCGUAGAUAUUAGGAGGAACACCAGUGGCGAAGGCGGAUUGCUGGACGAUAACUGACGGUGAGGCGCGAAAGUGUGGGGAGCAAACA
rnacentral:rRNA from 1 species